rnacentral:rRNA from 1 species
CGAACGCUGGCGGCAGGCCUAAUACAUGCAAGUCGAACGGCUCUUCGGAGCAGUGGCGGACGGGUGAGUAACGCGUGGGAAUGUGCCCUUAGGUACGGAACAACACAGGGAAGCUUGUGCUAAUACCGUAUGUGCCCUUCGGGGGAAAGAUUUAUCGCCUUUGGAGCAGCCCGCGUUGGAUUAGGUAGUUGGUGAGGUAAAGGCUCACCAAGCCGACGAUCCAUAGCUGGUCUGAGAGGAUGACCAGCCACACUGGGACUGAGACACGGCCCAGACUCCUACGGGAGGCAGCAGUAGGGAAUCUUGCGCAAUGGGCGAAAGCUUGACGCAGCCAUGCCGCGUGUAUGAUGAAGGUCUUAGGAUUGUAAAAUACUUUGACCGGGGAAGAUAAUGACGGUACCCGGAGAAGAAGCCCCGGCUAACUUCGUGCCAGCCGCCGCUGUAACAC